AACGAACGCUGGCGGCAUGCCUAACACAUGCAGGUCGAACGAGACCUUCGGGUCUAGUGGCGCACGGGUGCGUAACGCGUGGGAACCUGCCCUUAGGUUCGGAAUAACUCCCCGAAAGGGGUGCUAAUACCGGAUAAUGUCUUCGGACCAAAGAUUUAUCGCCUUGGGAUGGGCCCGCGUUGGAUUAGCGAGUUGGUAGGGUAAAAGCCUACCAAGGCGAGGAUCCAUAGCUGGUCUGAGAGGAUGAUCAGCCACACUGGGACUGAGACCCGGACCAGACUCCUACGGGAGGCAGCAGUGGGGAAUAUUGGACGAGGGGCGAAAGCCUGAUCCAGCAAUGCCGGGUGAGUGAUGAAGGCCGUAGGGUUGUAAAGCUCUUUUACCCGGGAUGAUAAUGACAGUACCGGGAGAAUAAGCACCGGCUAACUCCGUG
rnacentral:rRNA from 1 species